GUUUUAAUAGUUUAAUUAAAAAUUAUGAUCUUGUAAAUCAUGGAUAGGUUUUCCUUUAAAACU
rnacentral:tRNA from 1 species